ensembl:lncRNA
UGGGAGGGAAACUAAUUGAUUGAACUCAAGAUAUCCUCUCAGAACUCCCAUUCCCAUUACUCUCGUCCUCUCUCCAGUGCACUGGUUUGCACUCAGCUUUACCAGUGCAGGUGGCUGUGGCCUGGCACCUCUGCAGAAGGCAUCUCAAGCAGAGCAGUGAGCCGCUCGCUGCAGCUGCAGCAGCAGAGGCUGCUGAGCACCCCCAACAAUGCCUCUUGGCAUCCAGUGGCAAAACAAGGUCCUUAAGGCAUGGCAGGAUGAAGUGAGGUUUGUGAAGUUUGCCCGACGUCUGUAUGACAAAAUGCCCACAACAAACGGUGAGCAUUUAACAUUAAUUUUAGCUGAAGCAAGCUCUGUCUGGUCUCUUCUUCUGGGCUUUCACUUCAGGUCAAUAAGUAGAUGCUGUCAUUCCCCUAUUUCCUGGACUAAAGAUUUAAAAGUAAUAGCAGCUGUCAAAUGUUUUCAGCUUGGUUUCUUUCCCUGGACCAUUACAUUGUAUUGUGCCAUCAGUGCAGAAGAACCAUUCAUUCUGCCAAACACUGCAGAGCUGGAGAGG